UACGAAGGAUCCUAGCGUUGUCCGGAUUUACUGGGUUUAAAGGGUGCGUAGGCGGACAGGUAAGUCAGUGGUGAAAUCUCUGGGCUUAACCCAGAAACUGCCGUUGAUACUAUUUGUCUUGAAUAUCCUGGAGGUAGGCGGAAUAUGUCAUGUAGCGGUGAAAUGCUUAGAUAUGACAUAGAACACCGAUAGCGAAGGCAGCUUACUACAGGAUGAUUGACGCUGAGGCACGAAAGCGUGGGGAGCAAACAGG
rnacentral:rRNA from 1 species